GACGAACGCUGGCGGCGUGCCUAAUACAUGCAAGUAGAACGCUGAAGAGAGGAGCUUGCUCUUCUUGGAUGAGUUGCGAACGGGUGAGUAACGCGUAGGUAACCUGCCUUGUAGCGGGGGAUAACUAUUGGAAACGAUAGCUAAUACCGCAUAACAAUGGAUGACACAUGUCAUUUAUUUGAAAGGGGCAAUUGCUCCACUACAUGAUGGACCUGCGUUGUAUUAGCUAGUAGGUGAGGUAAUGGCUCACCUAGGCGACGAUACAUAGCCGACCUGAGAGGGUGAUCGGCCACACUGGGACUGAGACACGGCCCAGACUCCUACGGGAGGCAGCAGUAGGGAAUCUUCGGCAAUGGGGGCAACCCUGACCGAGCAACGCCGCGUGAGUGAAGAAGGUUUUCGGAUCGUAAAGCUCUGUUGUAAGUCAAGAACGGGUGUGAGAGUGGAAAGUUCACACUGUGACGGUAGCUUACCAGAAAGGGACGGCUAACUACGUG
rnacentral:rRNA from 1 species